CCUACGGGCGACAGCAGUGGGGAAUAUUGGGCAAUGGGCGCAAGCCUGACCCAGCAACGCCGCGUGAAGGAAGAAGGCUUUCGGGUUGUAAACUUCUUUUGUCAGGGAAGAGUAGAAGACGGUACCUGACGAAUAUGCCACGGCUAACUACGUGCCAGCAGCCGCGGUAAUACGUAGGUGGCAAGCGUUGUCCGGAUUUACUGGGUGUAAAGGGCGUGUAGCCGGGUUGACAAGUCAGAUGUGAAAUCCUGCGGCUUAACCGCAGAACUGCAUUUGAAACUGUUGAUCUUGAGUACUGGAGAGGCAGACGGAAUUCCUAGUGUAGCGGUGAAAUGCGUAGAUAUUAGGAGGAACACCAGUGGCGAAGGCGGUCUGCUGGACAGCAACUGACGGUGAGGCGCGAAAGCGUGGGGAGCAAACAGGAUUAGAUACCCCAGUAGUC
rnacentral:rRNA from 1 species